rnacentral:rRNA from 1 species
GUAGGGUCCGAGCGUUGUCCGGAGUUACUGGGCGUAAAGCGCGCGCAGGCGGCGGUCGCAGGCCCGGCGUGAAAGCCCCCGGCUCAACCGGGGAGGGUCGUCGGGGACCGCACCGCUUGAGGGCGGUAGGGGCUGGUGGAAUGCCGGGUGUAGUGGUGAAAUGCGUAGAGAUCCGGCAGAACACCUGGGGCGAAGGCGGCCAGCUGGGCCGACCCUGACGCUGAGGCGCGAAGGCGUGGGGAGCGAACGGGAUUAGAUACCCCGGUAGUCCACGCAGUAAACGAUGCCGACUAGGCGUGGGGGGAGUUGACCCCCUCCGUGCCGGAGCCAACGCGGGAAGUCGGCCGCCUGGGGAGUACGGCCGCAAGGCUAAA